CUUAGGUAAAAACGAAGACCAUCUAUCCAACAGGAAAGCAAGCAAAACCGAUGUUACCACCAAAGGCUGCUGGAGGAAUACUGUCAACUUUGCGCCUCACCUUCUCCCGCAUCCACUCUCCUCAGCCGCGGGAGCCAUCAAUUCGUCCAAGGUUUCUGUCUUCCCCAACAAUAUCUCAAUCUUUGCAUUUUGGAUGCGCCGACCCCUGGAUUCAUGCUUGACAUCAUCAGUUGAUGGAUGAUGCAAUCUUCUUCUCGAUAGCCAGGCCAUUGUUUUUCAGAAUUUCCGCGAUAGUGACAACGGUUGCAAUUGCUUGGCGAGGUUGAGGUCGAAGAAGAGGGGCUUCUUCUUCUUGGACACCUGGAUCCGGUUCUUCUUGUGGGAAUCGGCGGCGGUGGCGUGGGGAUUGUUCACGCCCUCCGUGAUCUCCUCCAUCGGGGAGUCCUUAUUCCAACAGACGGGAAGGAGGCGACGAAACCCUAACCCUAGCCGUCCGAAAGCCUUUCUUUCGCCCGCCGAAGGGAACCAUUCUCUCUAUUAAUCGCACAACAACGCACCGUGUCAGGCGUUGGGUGUCUCAUCGCUGUGGUUUUGGCGUUUCGCUACCCGACGCUUCUCUUCUCAGGUGAUCCUAUCUACCCCCGCCCGCCUCCCUCCCAUUUCACUCCUCCUCAUCGGGGUUUCUGCACCCUAACCCCUAUUUGUGAUGGAUCUGGGCGUCUUUGCAUCGUGCUAAGCCCCGAUUACGGCAUGGGAUCUCCAUUCCGUCUAUGAGAAUAUGACCCAGCAAGUUUUAGGCUAAAGUCCCUCCUUUUUUUUGUUUCGACUUCUUCGGUCGAGAUGGUUGGCGUGAGAGAGGAGUGACAUGAGUCCUUGAUGAUGGGUCGCCGAGUGAGCUGGUGAAACGCUACCACUCCGGGCAGACGGUAAUCUCCAGAUGCAGUUCGAGCAGGAUCAGGACCUUGAGGUCCACGACAAUACUGGCGACGAUCGGUCAGAGGUUCCUCCCAGAUGCAUCCGGUGUGGCAUCAGUGCAAAUGCAACACCACAUAUGCGCCGUGGGCCUGAGGGACCAAGGACUCUUUGUAAUGCAUGUGGGAUUGCUUGGACAAAGAAUUUGUAUAAACAGGGGAAAUUGAGGAGAAUGAUCGACUCAAAUAGCCCUGCAUAUGAGAUCACAAUGGCAAAAUUGGUGCCAGAAAUUGAUAUGGAAUUUGAAAGCGAAGAGAAGGCAUAUGAGUUCUACAAUAAGUAUGCGGGGCAUGUAGGUUUUAGUGUGAGAAAAAGUUCGUCAGGUAAAUCAUCCGAAAAUGUUACUAGAUCAAGAACUUUUGUUUGCUCAAGACAAGGUUUUCGCAAGGACAAAAAGGGAGCAAAAGAAGUAAAGAGACCCAGGCCAGAAACAAGAAUAGGAUGCCCUGCACGAAUGACCAUUAAAAUUACGCCAAGUGGUAAAUACCGAGUGACAGAGUUUAUUGGAGAGCACAAUCAUCAGCCAGCACCACCUUCAACAACCCACAUGUUGAGGUCUCAAAGGAUAACUAUUGAGCUUCAAGCUGCUGAAGCAGAUUUGUCUGAUGAUUCUGCAACAACUCCAAAAACUACCGGUGAGACUGCACCAAGGCCGAUUGGUGGUCCUAGAAAUGUUAGGUUUCUUCCUGCAGAUUACAAGAAUAAUCUCCGAUCAAAGCGUAUGAAAGCCAUGCAGAUGGGUGAUGCUGGAUCUGUAUUAAAGUAUCUGCAGAGCAUGCAACUUGAUGACCCCGCUUUCUUCUAUUCUAUCCAGGUCGAUGAGGAUGAUAAAUUGACUAACAUUUUCUGGGCAGAUUCAAAAUCCAUAAUGGACUUUAACUACUUUGGUGAUGUUGUGUGCUUGGACAUGACUUACAAAAUAAAUGGAUAUGGUAGGCCUUUGGCACCAUUUCUUGGCAUGAAUCAUCAUAAGCAAACAACUAUAUUUGGUGCUGCAUUACUGUAUGAUGAAUCAGUGGAAUCUUUCAAGUGGUUAUUUGAGACUUUUAAAAUUGGGAUGCGUGGAAAGCAGCCAAAGACAUUAUUGACGGAUCCAUUUAUGCCAAUAAUUAAUGCUGUAGCUGUAGUCUGGCCAGGCACAAGUCAUCGCCAUUGUGUAUGGCAUGUCUACCAGAAUGCUGUUAAACAUCUUAAUCAUGUAUUCCAAGGUUCAAAAACUUUCUCAAAGGAUUUUAGUAAAUGUAUUUAUGAUUAUGAGGAAGAGGAGGACUUCUUAUUAGCAUGGAGAGCAAUGUUGGAGAAAUACGACCUUAGGAACAAUGAAUGGUUACUAAAGUUAUUUGAAGAUAGGGACAAAUGGGCUUUACCUUAUGGCCGAGACAUAUUUUGUGCUGACAUGAAGAGCAGUCUACAGACUGAAAGCUUGAGUGGUGUGCUAAAGAAGUUUUUGAGUCCUCAGUUAGAUCUUCUAUCAUUUUUUAAGCACUAUGAGAGGGUGUUAGAUGAGCAUCGCUAUGCAGAACUACAAGCUGAUUUUCAUGCAAGUCAAAGCUUUCCAAGAAUACCUCCUUCAAAGUUGCUCAGACAAGCUGCUAAUGUAUACACGCCUGUGAUCUUUGAAGUCUUUAGAAAAGAAUUUGAGAUGUUCAUGGAUUGUAUGUUGUUUAGUUGCGGUGAGGUUGAGACAAUAUCUGAGUACAAAGUUGUUGUCACAGAGAAACCCAGAGAACACUAUGUUAGAUUUGACUCCAGAGAUUGUUCUGCGUACUGCAGCUGUAAAAAGUUUGAGUUUACGGGGAUUCAGUGUUGUCAUGUAUUAAAGGUGCUUGACUUCAGAAAUAUCAAAGAGUUACCUCCAAAGUACUACCUGAAGAGGUGGAAAAAAGAUGCCAAGUCUGGAAGUGAAGGUGGCAAUCGGGUGAUUGCAACUGAUAGUGAUCCCAAGUCCCCCACAAGCUCAUCCCUGAGUGUUCCAGUGCCAUCCUACACGCAACAGCAGGGUUUUCAUGGCAUGAGUCAUUUUGGUCAAGAUUCAUCAGUCUCAGAUUUGCAUCAAGACUCAUUUCAGGCUAACACUCAGUUAAAUCAGGUUGUUGCACAGACUCAUGGGCCAUGGUCUUUGGUAACAAGAGCAAAUUCUUCCUAGAAUUGCCUUGAGAUAGGCAUUGAGAAAAUUUUGUAUUACAAUCGACUGAUCCACUUGUGUUAGGAUUCAGAUGAGAUGGGGUUGGAUGGAAACUCGAAGAAAAGUUGCUGGAGUUGUGGCUGGCCCAUGAUUGAAGCAAGAGUCACGGUGUCAUCUCUGUUCUUGUCAUGAAAGCAGGACACAUGCCUAACAAUCUCCAUGGAAGAUGUGCUACCUAACGACACGGAGAAGCUCCUCAGUGGUUCAACAGGUGAUGAAGGAUACUUUUCUUUAAUCAACCUGAACCUUUGUAGCUUAAUUAAUCAUGGUGGAAAAAUCCAAACAGCAUCACUCCAGGUACAUUAAACCAAAGAUUCUCUCAGCAUUUCUUUUCUUAACACUGUUGCUGGCUUCACUCAUGCCUCUCUGCAAGCUAGAUUUAACCCUCAGGGUCUUGCCAUUUUUGUUUCUUUCCA